UACGUAGGGGGCUAGCGUUGUCCGGAAUCAUUGGGCGUAAAGCGCGUGUAGGCGGCCCGGUAAGUCCGCUGUGAAAGUCGGGGGCUCAACCCUCGGAUGCCGGUGGAUACUGUCAGGCUUGAGUGCGGAAGAGGCGAGUGGAAUUCCUGGUGUAGCGGUGAAAUGCGCAGAUAUCAGGAGGAACACCAAUUGCGAAGGCAGCUCGCUGGGACGUUACUGACGCUGAGACGCGAAAGCGUGGGGAGCAAACAGG
rnacentral:rRNA from 1 species